GCGUUGUUGGUGUAGUGGUUAGCAUUGAAGCCUUCCACUGCUCCCUCUCCAUGAAGAUGGAUGAUGAAGAAAGAAUAGCUUUAGUCCGGGGUUCGAAUCCCCGACAACGCA
rnacentral:tRNA from 1 species